AACGAACGCUGGCGGCAUGCCUAACACAUGCAAGUCGAACGAGACCUUCGGGUCUAGGGGCGCACGGGUGCGUAACGCGUGGGAACCUGCCCUUAGGUUCGGAAUAACUCCCCGAAAGGGGUGCUAAUACCGGAUAAUGUCUUCGGACCAAAGAUUUAUCGCCUUUGGAUGGGCCCGCGUUGGAUUAGCUAGUUGGUAGGGUAAAAGCCUACCAAGGCGACGAUCCAUAGCUGGUCUGAGAGGAUGAUCAGCCACACUGGGACUGAGACACGGCCCAGACUCCUACGGGAGGCAGCAGUGGGGAAUAUUGGACAAUGGGCGAAAGCCUGAUCCAGCAAUGCCGCGUGAGUGAUGAAGGCCUUAGGGUUGUAAAGCUCUUUUACCCGGGAUGAUAAUGACAGUACCGAGAGAAUAAGCUCCGGCUAACUCCGUG
rnacentral:rRNA from 1 species